UACAGAGGGUGCGAGCGUUGUCCGGAAUCACUGGGCGUAAAGGGCGCGUAGGCGGCUUCUUAAGCGUGUGGUGAAAGCGCGGGCUCAACCCCGCGUCGGCCGUGCGAACUGGGGAGCUGGAGCACGUCAGAGGCAGGCGGAAUUCCGGGUGUAGCGGUGGAAUGCGUAGAGAUCCGGAAGAACACCGGUGGCGAAGGCGGCCUGCUGGGACGUGGCUGACGCUGAGCGCGACAGCGU
rnacentral:rRNA from 1 species